AGAAGAGUGCUACAAAAGAGUGAGUUAGCUGGGUGAUAAGAAGAGAUGUAGUUUGUUGGCUGUGCUGUGAGGCGGUGCCCGUGAGAAAUCACUGUGAAGAUAUGGGACCUUUGCACUGAGCAGCAGAAAGAGGAGAUCAGCACCUCCUCCUCUGCUGAUCCCUUGAGGAAGUUUUGGACUGUGCCAAGGUCACUCCUCAGCCUUGUCUUCUCCCAGCUGACCAAACCAAGUGACCUCAGCCACUCCUCUGAGUCUGGCACUCAAGGCCUUUCACCACUCCUGGUCACCCUCCUCUGGACGUGCUCUAAUAUUUCUCCUCUCUUGUACUACAAAUGAAUGGAAAUGGGGCUGGGUUUAUGCCCUUAGAUGCUUGUGCCAGAGACAUGUUCUGAAGGCAUCCAGGAGAAAGAAGCUCUUGUAUUUCUGUAUCUCACCACAGCCAAGGGUUACUGAGGGCCUGAAUCAAUCUGUGCCUGCUGUUGAUGAUAAACAAUCAUGGUCUUGUAGAUCCUCAGGAAAAAGGGCCGGAAUCUGUGAAUCAUCUGUUGCUGUUGCAUUUAUGCUGGAAUCAAGCAGAUGCAGUGUCUAAGGGAAUCAGCCUGGAAAUUGUGUCUUGAUGAAAAUCUGGGAAGGACCUGUAAGGAACCCUGGAGACAAACCUAAAGGUGGCUAUUUACCACCUUAAGUCCCCACUCAUUUGAAGGAACUGUUAUGUGACUGGACAAAGUUAAUGGAAUAUCGGAUAUAAACCACCACUCACGAUCUGUGAGGCAAAAGGAAUGUCCCAUUUAUUGUGGAAUCUGCUUACUACCAACCGUCACCUCACCUCCAAAUACAAUUUAUUUUUUUCUUUAAAAGUCUGUGAAAUCAAGCAUGAACCUGGGCUCCAUUUGCACGUUUAUGUUCACAGGUGUUUCAGUGUAUCCAGCCCACACAGCUUCAACUCUCACUCUACUUUUCUCCCACCUGUAUUUCAGUGACUUUUUUUUCAUUGACACUGAAAAAACAUGAUCUCCUCCUCUCAUUCUAUUCCUCUUAUGUAUCUGCUUUCAUACAUCCAGAGACAAAGAAUAUCUCUUGUUUUGCUACCCAGAGCUGUAGUUUGUCUGCUGAGGAGGAACAGCACAGCCAACUAACACAGGGCUCUCCUCAGUGGCAGCACUGAGAGUUGUCCCCAACUCCUCCUAUACCAUGGCAUUUUGUCACAUUUUGAGCUGACCCUCCUACUUCCCUGUGCAGAGCUUUAUUCCAGGGCAGCAGAAUGUUCUCCAUGGAGGCCAAGCAAGACUGAAGAGCUUUGAUUUUGUCCUGCUCCUUCAGGAGCACCCUCUUCACCUCUGUGCAAGAUGCAUCUGGUGACUUGAGGGCUCCAUCUCUGGGGGUGCACAGACAGGAAAGGGGUCUUAUUACUGAGAAUGCAAGCCUUGCAAACAGCAGUCGAACUCCUGGUCAUUUUAAUCCCGUCUCAGCAUCUAUUGAUGGCUUAGAUCUUCUCAGCUUAGAGAGGUUUCUCUUGGUUUCUUGUGUGUGCUGUCCUGUUGAAAAUACUGUUUUUGUGGUCUAAUCGCACAAGGCACAGGGACUCUGCUGCUUAAAUGACAGCUCUGUGGUCAGGGGAUGUUUCUAUGACUGACACUCAAAGGAAACAAAAAAAUUAGGGGCAGAAGAAACAUAGAACUGAUAAGUGCUUCCCAGACUAUUUAUUUCUAUUAUUAGCAUCAAAAUGUGAUAAUUUCACAGAGUACUUUGGACAAUGAGAGCAAAAGGCAAUAGAGGAAGACAUGUUACAUAUUCCACUUAACCAUUCUUAAAAUGAGGGCCUCCCAGCUGUAAAAAAAAACCAAAACAAAACAAAAAAACUAUAGGGAAGGGCCAGAGAAGAACACUAUUAAAAAUCUCCAAAUAAAGUUUUCUGCUAUGCUUUUCUCCUUUGUGAAACACUUUGGGCUGCAGUGGCUCUACACCUUUCAUCAUCUUCUUGUAUGUCUAAACAUCCAUGGCAGCAAGCCAUAGUCGAUCUCCUGGCCAGUUAAAUCUCCUUGGCAGCAACUUUCCACCAGCGACUUUUAACUCUUUUUCCUUUAUUGUCAACAGAACAUUUUACAAAACAAAGUACAUGUAAAACUCUGAACUGCUGCUGAAAGUGUCUUAGCCCUGAUGGUAGAGAACGCAUUUUAAAACCUGUCACCUUUUUAAAUUUCAACCCUACAUCUCCUCUGUAUCUCCACAAGGAGCCCAUGUCACCACAUGCACCAUUAAUUCUAGUACUUUCAAAUCAAGCAGAAGAAAUAAACUGGGCUGUAGCCCUUCCUUUGUGCUGCCAUAAUGAACCAAGCUAGGCAUUGGGAAGACAGAGUGCUGACAUUUUAACUUUUAAUGGAAGAAUUUCUUUCCCACAGAACUAUCAACAGGGAACAGAGGAUAUUCUCCCUUUAAAAUGUAAAGGCCAAGUUCCUCAGGUGGUUUUGAGCCAGCAUGGGUACAGUCAAGUGGGAUGGUGUAGAGGUGACUCUUACAGGACUGAAGGUGCAGCUGAGCUAAAUCAGUGGCCACUAUAAGUCACUGCUCUAGCUGAACAGCCUUGGAUCUGACACUCAGAACCCACCUGCUGCUUGCAUGUCCUGUACUGUCUCCUGCUAAAUUCCAGUGAUUCAUCUCAUUCACUGCCUUAUUCUGUCAAAUGACCAGGAAUCCUCAUCUCCCCAGCAUCACACAAUGUCCUUCAGGAGGACCCAGCCUCCAAGUCAGGUUUUAUGGUCUCUCUUCUGUUACACCUUCACAUCUUUAUUAAUUCCUAAACUCAAGCACAAUUUUAAGAAUUGGCAAGCUGCUUCCCUCAUACGUGAAAGAAAUGCUGCAGUUGUGAUCUUUCCAGUGGAUGUGAGUGCUGUGAAAAUGCUGAAACACUGGACUGCAGAAAAUGCCUGCCAUCUUUUUCCCCUCUAAAUAGGUGGGUGGUUCCUAAGGACUCUCUGAGACGGAGAAAAAGACUCACUCAACCUCACUGGGAUACCUCUCCAUGGCUGGUAGAUCUUCUUCUAGAACAAGCUUUCAAGGCUGACCCACAUGUCUCUGCUCACCCUCUGCCUCUUUCUUUUUCCCAUCUGAGCCACCCUACCACAUUCUACAGACUUUACAAGACAUUUUUGAUUCAAAGGAAGCUGCAGUGCAUGUCAGAAUAUGGCUCUAAUCCCAUAUUUCAUUGUCCAGAGUUUAUGAAGAGUAUGGUGAGUUCCUGAAGUUAAAGGAGUACAUCAGUAAAACAAUUAGGAGAUCAGUUUGACAAAUGUUGCAGUACAUUACAGCUCUUGAGGGGUUGUCAGUGUGGAACUUGGCUCUUGACUCUCCUCAUUUUCCAUUAAACUUGUAAAACUGCCUGUCAAGGGAAAGGAGAACUUCGUAAAUGAGACUUAAAACUCAACCAAGCAGAGCUGCUCAGAAUAUAUGGUGGAAACAACCUUGCCUGGAUGGGACAAGUGAGGCAUGAGGAGCUCUUUUCCCUCACUGAGACUGUGCUGAACAUUGUCCUUGACUUGGUGUCACUACAGCAGACAGGGAUGGAGGCCACCUGACUAAAUAAGGCACCAGCUGACAUGAGAAAAUGUACUGGGUGUGUCACUUACUUCUGGGCUUCAAAAAACUUAAUUUGAAGGAUAGUAUAAUUCACUGUGCUAUCAAAGGAAUUUUUUAAGAGCUAGGAAAAAUAAUUAAUCAAACUUUAUGUUAACUACUUAGAAGUGUAAUCAGAAUGAUACCUGUUAUAAAAAUUUCAUUAGUAUAUCUGCAUUACAGAUUGAUUUAUUCUUUUGGUGAUGGCAUAGUUUUGAAAUUUAAGAGGCAUUUUCCAGAGGAGUUUCCUCAUGCAUUCCACAAAAUUGAUGAUCUGUUCCUGUUUGGACUGGUGUAAAUACCUCUAUGUAGACAUUUCUACAU